rnacentral:rRNA from 1 species
CCCUACUUUCGGGUAGGGAGUGGCGGACGGGUGAGUAACACAUGGGAACCUACCCACCAGUGAGGGAUACCGGCGCGAAAGCGCCGACAAGCCCGCAUACGCUUCCUCGUAAGGGGAAGGAAAGCUCUUUCGGGGGCGCUGGUGGAUGGGCCUGUGGCCGAUUAGCUAGUUGGUGUGGUAAAAGCGCACCAAGGCGACGAUCGGUAGCUGGUCUGAGAGGACGAGCAGCCACACUGGGAUUGAGAACGGCCCAGACUCCUACGGGGGGCAGCAGUGAGGAAUUUUCCGCAAUGGAGGAAACUCUGACGGAGCAACGCCGCGUGCAGGACGAAGCGCUUCGGC